GAUCUGAAUCCUCAGCAGUCGACUGUACCGUGCCUUUGUCAUUGAUCCACAUGUUAGUGAAAAAGGCACGGUGCAGUGACUGCAGAGGAUCUCAAUCCGGA
rnacentral:pre_miRNA from 1 species